ACUAAGCGUACACGGUGGAUGCCCUGGCAGUCAGAGGCGAUGAAGGACGUGCUAAUCUGCGAAAAGCGUCGGUAAGGUGAUAUGAACCGUUAUAACCGGCGAUGUCCGAAUGGGGAAACCCAGUGUGAUUCGUCACACUAUCGUUAACUGAAUACAUAGGUUAACGAGGCGAACCGGGGGAACUGAAACAUCUAAGUACCCCGAGGAAAAGAAAUCAACCGAGAUUCCCCCAGUAGCGGCGAGCGAACGGGGAGCAGCCCAGAGUCUGAAUCAGCUUGUGUGUUAGUGGAACGGUCUGGAAAGUCCGACGGUACAGGGUGAUAGUCCCGUACACCAAAAUGCACAGGCUGUGAACUCGAAGAGUAGGGCGGGACACGUGGUAUCCUGUCUGAAUAUGGGGGGACCAUCCUCCAAGGCUAAAUACUCCUGACUGACCGAUAGUGAACCAGUACCGUGAGGGAAAGGCGAAAAGAACCCCGGCGAGGGGAGUGAAAAAGAACCUGAAACCGUGUACGUACAAGCAGUGGGAGCACCUUCGGGUGUGACUGCGUACCUUUUGUAUAAUGGGUCAGCGACUUAUAUUCUGUAGCAAGGUUAACCGUAUAGGGGAGCCGCAGGGAAACCGAGUCUUAACUGGGCGUUAAGUUGCAGGGUAUAGACCCGAAACCCGGUGAUCUAGCCAUGGGCAGGUUGAAGGUUGGGUAACACUAACUGGAGGACCGAACCGACUAAUGUUGAAAAAUUAGCGGAUGACUUGUGGCUGGGGGUGAAAGGCCAAUCAAACCGGGAGAUAGCUGGUUCUCCCCGAAAGCUAUUUAGGUAGCGCCUCGUGAACUCAUCUUCGGGGGUAGAGCACUGUUUCGGCUAGGGGGUCAUCCCGACUUACCAACCCGAUGCAAACUACGAAUACCGAAGAAUGUUAUCACGGGAGACACACGGCGGGUGCUAACGUCCGUCGUGAAGAGGGAAACAACCCAGACCGCCAGCUAAGGUCCCAAAGUCAUGGUUAAGUGGGAAACGAUGUGGGAAGGCACAGACAGCCAGGAUGUUGGCUUAGAAGCAGCCAUCAUUUAAAGAAAGCGUAAUAGCUCACUGGUCGAGUCGGCCUGCGCGGAAGAUGUAACGGGGCUAAACCAUGCACCGAAGCUGCGGCAGCGACACUAUGUGUUGUUGGGUAGGGGAGCGUUCUGUAAGCCUGCGAAGGUGUGCUGUGAGGCAUGCUGGAGGUAUCAGAAGUGCGAAUGCUGACAUAAGUAACGAUAAAGCGGGUGAAAAGCCCGCUCGCCGGAAGACCAAGGGUUCCUGUCCAACGUUAAUCGGGGCAGGGUGAGUCGACCCCUAAGGCGAGGCCGAAAGGCGUAGUCGAUGGGAAACAGGUUAAUAUUCCUGUACUUGGUGUUACUGCGAAGGGGGGACGGAGAAGGCUAUGUUAGCCGGGCGACGGUUGUCCCGGUUUAAGCAUGUAGGCUGGUUAUCCAGGCAAAUCCGGAUAAUCAAGGCUGAGGUGUGAUGACGAGGCACUACGGUGCUGAAGUAACAAAUGCCCUGCUUCCAGGAAAAGCCUCUAAGCAUCAGGUAACAUCAAAUCGUACCCCAAACCGACACAGGUGGUCAGGUAGAGAAUACCAAGGCGCUUGAGAGAACUCGGGUGAAGGAACUAGGCAAAAUGGUGCCGUAACUUCGGGAGAAGGCACGCUGGUGUGUAGGUGAAGUCCCUGCGGAUGGAGCUGAGACCAGUCGAAGAUACCAGCUGGCUGCAACUGUUUAUUAAAAACACAGCACUGUGCAAACACGAAAGUGGACGUAUACGGUGUGACGCCUGCCCGGUGCCGGAAGGUUAAUUGAUGGGGUUAUCCGUAAGGAGAAGCUCUUGAUCGAAGCCCCGGUAAACGGCGGCCGUAACUAUAACGGUCCUAAGGUAGCGAAAUUCCUUGUCGGGUAAGUUCCGACCUGCACGAAUGGCGUAAUGAUGGCCAGGCUGUCUCCACCCGAGACUCAGUGAAAUUGAACUCGCUGUGAAGAUGCAGUGUACCCGCGGCAAGACGGAAAGACCCCGUGAACCUUUACUAUAGCUUGACACUGAACAUUGAGCCUUGAUGUGUAGGAUAGGUGGGAGGCUUUGAAGCGUGGACGCCAGUCUGCGUGGAGCCAACCUUGAAAUACCACCCUUUAAUGUUUGAUGUUCUAACGUUGGCCCCUGACCGGGGUUGCGGACAGUGUCUGGUGGGUAGUUUGACUGGGGCGGUCUCCUCCCAAAGCGUAACGGAGGAGCACGAAGGUUAGCUAAUCCUGGUCGGACAUCAGGAGGUUAGUGCAAUGGCAUAAGCUAGCUUGACUGCGAGCGUGACGGCGCGAGCAGGUGCGAAAGCAGGUCAUAGUGAUCCGGUGGUUCUGAAUGGAAGGGCCAUCGCUCAACGGAUAAAAGGUACUCCGGGGAUAACAGGCUGAUACCGCCCAAGAGUUCAUAUCGACGGCGGUGUUUGGCACCUCGAUGUCGGCUCAUCACAUCCUGGGGCUGAAGUAGGUCCCAAGGGUAUGGCUGUUCGCCAUUUAAAGUGGUACGCGAGCUGGGUUUAGAACGUCGUGAGACAGUUCGGUCCCUAUCUGCCGUGGGCGCUGGAGAAUUGAGGGGGGCUGCUCCUAGUACGAGAGGACCGGAGUGGACGCAUCACUGGUGUUCGGGUUGUCAUGCCAAUGGCACUGCCCGGUAGCUAAAUGCGGAAGAGAUAAGUGCUGAAAGCAUCUAAGCACGAAACUUGCCCCGAGAUGAGUUCUCCCUGAGACUAUAAGUCUCCUGAAGGAACGUUAAAGACGAUGACGUUGAUAGGCCGGGUGUGUAAGCGCAGCGAUGCGUUGAGCUAACCGGUACUAAUGAACCGUGAGGCUUAACC
rnacentral:rRNA from 1 species